CGUUGGAGCCAUAAUUUUUGAUUUAUGAUUUGUCUUACAGGUUGCUCCAGUGCCAGCAUCUCUGCACUAUGACCAAGCGUCUGACUUUUAACCUUAUACGUCCGUCUUCUGGCCUCGAUCGAUUUAAGCAGCAACAAAAUCAAUGGACUAUUGGCACCAAAAUACCAAAGAAAAAGCAAUACUUAGCAGGUGUUUGAAAGGCAAUACAGAUUUUUAUCAAAAAAAAGCCAAAACAGAUAAAAAAUAUAGGCAGCCAUAUAGAAAAUUUAGGACUUGAUUUGAAUUGAAUUUCCUGUUGGAUUUAUGUGUGAGAAAUCUCAUUCAAACAUGGCUUAUUUCAACCC
rnacentral:lncRNA from 1 species